AGAAGGAAAAGGAGAGAGAGAGGUGUCGGGGAGAGAGAGAAUCGUGCAAGGAUGAGGAGAUCGGCGCUGCGGGCAUCAGGGCCGACCGCCGGGGGCGCGGAGAGCUGGCCGGCAAAGCUGCUGGUGUCGGCGAGCGCGGCGGCAACGGCUACAGCGGUGUCAGUAGGCGGCGGAAGCGCGCAAGAAGGGGCAGCGUUUUCGAAGGUCGUUCCAGCCGUUUCUGGCGGCCUUUCCGGCCGAUCUUGGUGGUGAUCGGCUCCCCUCGAAGAGAGCUUCCUUUUGGCGGUAGUGGCAUCGGUUUUGGUGACCGGAGGAGGGAGUUCCGGCGAAGUAGGUGGCAGCCGCGUUUUCAGGUUCUUCCGGCGAGCUCCGGCGAAGGAUGGACGAUCGGAGGACGUAUCCCGACUCUUCUCAACUCAAACUUCACAAUGGCACCGGUUUCGUGGCGAUCGGACUCCGUUUGCGAAUCGACGACUGAGAUCGUUCGCAAAUCUCUUUGGAUGAUUGGGGGUCAGAUCGAAAAAUUGGAAUCGGGGAUCGUCAUCAGCGCAUGGUUUCGAGUCCGCUGGUGAGUUUGGAUCGUCGAUCGGACUCCGGCGGCUGGAGGCGAGUCGACCGAGCGAUCGAGCGUUUCAAUUGGUGACUGUUAGUCUUCCCGCGACUCUUACUCAGUAACUCGACUUCUUCAUCAUCGAGUGGUGUAUUCGAUUUGGGAUUCGUUAAGAGCUCAAAGAGGUUGCGCUCAGUGUCAACUUCAUGGCGUGUGGGAUCUUUGAAGGUCCCAAGACUCUUCAAAAUGCUGGAAGACCUCGACGAACAAAAAGAGCUCAUUGUGCGGGCCGACACUUAUUUCGUGGGAAUCUCAUUUAUUGAUGAGACCCCUUAUUCUAUGACACAGAAUAUUUAAUUUAUGAGUGGGAGUCGAUAAAUUAUGUGAGUCUCAUAUUUGUAUAUAUUCUUUUUCUACCAUUAGAUUUAUGAAAUCAGUUAUAGAAAACACGCAAAUUUAAUCAAUCUGGAAAUGUAAAAAAUUAAUUUAAGAUAUGUACACCAUUCUAACUUGUAGAUACGAAUUUAUAAAAUGUUUAAUAUAUAUGUCGUUCGAAAAUCA